rnacentral:rRNA from 1 species
UACAGAGGUCUCAAGCGUUGUUCGGAUUCAUUGGGCGUAAGGGUGCGUAGGCGGCGCGGUAGGUCGGGUGUGAAAUCUUGGAGCUUAACUCCGAAACUGCAUUCGAUACUGCCGUGCUUGAGGACUGGAGAGGAGACUGGAAUUUACGGUGUAGCGGUGAAAUGCGUAGAUAUCGUAAGGAAGACCAGUGGCGAAGGCGGGUCUCUGGACAGUUCCUGACGCUGAGGCACGAAGGCCAGGGAGCAAACGGG